rnacentral:rRNA from 1 species
AUUGAACGCUGGCGGCAUGCCUUACACAUGCAAGUCGAACGGUAACAGGUCUUCGGAUGCUGACGAGUGGCGAACGGGUGAGUAAUACAUCGGAACGUGCCCGAGAGUGGGGGAUAACGAGGCGAAAGCUUUGCUAAUACCGCAUACGAUCUCAGGAUGAAAGCAGGGGACCGCAAGGCCUUGCGCUCACGGAGCGGCCGAUGGCAGAUUAGGUAGUUGGUGGGAUAAAAGCUUACCAAGCCGACGAUCGGUAGCUGGUCUGAGAGGAAGACCAGCCACACUGGGACUGAGACACGGCCCAGACUCCUACGGGAGGCAGCAGUGGGGAAUUUUGGACAAUGGGCGCAAGCCUGAUCCAGCCAUGCCGCGUGCAGGAUGAAGGCCUUCGGGUUGUAAACUGCUUUUGUACGGAACGAAAAGACUCUGGUUAAUACCUGGGGUCCAUGACGGUACCGUAAGAAUAAGCACCGGCUAACUACGUGCCAGCAGCCGCCGUAAAAC